rnacentral:misc_RNA from 1 species
GUGUCAUUGAACGAGUUCUGUAACUACAAAACACGAGUUUUGAUGGGCUUGCAUUUGUUGACAAGCAUCUCUGCAUGAACCCAAUUCCUAUCAGAAGAAAUUUAGGCCUCCUUCUUUCCAAACAGUAAGUUCCACGAGUAUGUGUUGCCUCUCUGUGCAGCCACUUCAACUCGCUUCCCCCCAAUCUUAUCCAUGAACCAGUAGCCAAUGGUUGGCAUGUAUUGUACUAGAUACAAAACAGCUAGUACAGGCUGGUGUGAUAUCCAAGCUUCUUUUAAUCCGUGAGUUGCUGCAAUUAUUGUCAAUUCUGCACACCUUUCUGACGACACACGUUUCUCAGAACCCUUCCUCGCUGGGGUUGUCACUCCAUAGCCAUUUGAAGUUUC